GGUCUGAGAAGAGCGGGAGGAGGUGGCGGCCUUGGGAAGAUGCUGGAGACCUAGGCUCGCCACACCGGGCCCGACCUGAGUAGUGAGUGGAGAAAGAGGGUGGGAGGCGAGGUCGAUGUCUGUGGCCGGAGCGGACGGUGCAGAUUGCGAGCCGGCCUAAAAGGUUGGUUUCCUUUAAAGAUCUCUUUCCACGAGUGUCUGUCGGAAUCCAGUGUGCAGUUCUCAGUUCUGGGCAUUGAGGAUCCGUCCUAGGAUGGACCGAGCACGGUUACGGAGCUCAGCGGGAGAGGAUAUGGGAAGGUUAUGGUUGAUGGUAGAGACGUGGUGGAGGCUUGCUUUCUCUACCUUGUGUUACUUCGUAGGCACUGUGUCUCCGAUGUGCUUUUAUAUGUAGAGAGUGCUUUCAGAUUGCCAAGACGCCCUCUGCUCGAGAUUUAACCAUUUGUUUUCUCCUCUCUCUGACUGUUGGACGCACACCUUUCCGGAGGAUGGGAGAGGUGACCAAGGUCCUGAGCUGUUACCUGAGCUUGAGUGAACAGAGACCCUCACCUUUGCUUUCUAGCACUCGACCACACCCAGCAAAGAGUUCGCUUACGCCGCAGUUCAUAAUUUGUAGACUGCUUAACAAUGGGUUCUGCCUGUUUCAUAAAGUACAUUCCAGCAGGUCGGGGUGCGGGUGCACAAGGGUGAUCUCUACCCUUUGUCACUGGUAUGAAGCACUUGAAUAGUAACCCAAACCCCAAAAGUACAUACCAGAUUUAAAUGACUUAGUAUAGAAAACCCACAAGAAAUUUAGUAAUUUUAUGUUGAUUAUAUGUUACAAAGGUAAUGUUCAUUUUGUUAAAAACUAGUUUUGGGACCCACACACUGCCUUUAAUCCCAGCACUCAGAUGGCAAGUCAGAGUUUGAGGCUAGCUUGAUCAACCUAGGCUAGCCAGGGCUGCCUAGUGAGACCAUGUUUCAAUAGGGGGGAAAAAGCCUUUAAUUUUGGACUGUCAGUACUUGUGAAUGGUAGAGGUCUUGUUGAGUAUACUGGGCUCAGUGUUACUUCGUGUAGCCUUGCCUGUCCUGGAAGUAGACCAGGACAGACCUUUGAACUCGAGAGCCUCAUUUCCCAGUUCUUGUUUCUAAAAAAAAUAAGAAAGGUUUCACUAACUUUUGUGACUUGGCUGAAAGGAGAUUAAAGGGUGUGCUCAUGGUUCACACUCAUGGACAGUGCUGCUUUUAGUGAUCUCAUCCAAAAGUCAGCUGAGCUGUAACACAGUUAACUAAGCAGCCAGAAAUCAAACUUACCACUGAGCUUUUAGCUGGGUGCCUUGCCAGAUUGAUAGAUUGAUUUAGCCAAGCAAGGUUUAGGGAGCUAAUUGUCAGGAUUACUUAACUUGGUAGUAUGCUUUUGCCUGUUGUGCACAAAGCCCUGGUUUCAGUCUCCAGCUCCAUAUCGAAAGCCUAUAAUCCCAGGCGGAGGCAGGAGAUUCAAGUCAUCCUACAUAGAACAUUUGAAGCCAGCCUGGGCUAGAGACCUUGUCUUUAAUAGAAUAAGCCUUUGGUUCCUGUACUCAGGAGACAGGAAGGAUGAGUCCCAGCAAGGUGUCAUGGUACACAGCUUUAAUCCCAGCACUUGGGAAACAAAAGUGGGGGAAUCUCUGUGACAGCCAGAGCUACAGGAUAGCAAAAAAAAAAAAAAAAAUUAAGAAUGAGUGCCACAGCUGGACAGUGGUGGCACAGGCCUUUAAUCCCAGCACUUGAGAGGCAGAGGCAGGUGGAUUUCUUGAAGCCAGCCUGGUCUACAGAGUGGGUUCCAGGACAGCCAGGACUGCCCAGAGAAACCCUGUCUCG
rnacentral:lncRNA from 1 species